ACCCUUGUGGAGGAGGACGCCGAAGGUGGGGCUAAUGACUGGGGUGAAGUCGUAACAAGGUAGCCGUACCGGAAGGUGCGGCUGGAUCACCUCCUAACAGGGAGACAACAAAAUGUAAAUAUUAAUUUUGUCACCUUAGGUCGAUCGGUAUCUCAGAUUCUUAAUUUUAAGAAUUUCAGUUUCUAAGUUUUUUCUAGGUCACACCCAUUACUUUUUCCUGGGCCAUUAGCUCAGGUGGUUAGAGCGCACCCCUGAUAAGGGUGAGGUCCCUGGUUCAAGUCCAGGAUGGCCCAUAUCUCUAUGUUGGGGGUAUAGCUCAGUUGGUAGAGCGCCUGCUUUGCAAGCAGGAUGUCAGCGGUUCGAGUCCGCUUACCUCCACUGAAUACCACCUUUAUACAUAUUGUUAAAAAGGGAAAUUGUUUUGAGUCGUGUUCUAAUUGCUCUGAGCGAAUCUAGCUUCCUAUUUUAUUUAAUAAAUAAGAUGCUGGACUCAUUGAAUUAUUAUUCAUUGUUUUCAGAGAACCUUGACAACUGCAUAGAUUAUUUUUGAAGACAAUAAGCAUCUUUAAUGAUGCAGAUUUAUUAUUUGUGCGAAUGCAUUAAAUAACAAUUCUAUUAAGCUGAUGCUUCAAUUAUUGAAGUUAUUGGUCAAGCUACAAAGGGCUCACGGAGGAUACCUAGGCACACAGAGGC
rnacentral:misc_RNA from 1 species